UUUAAUGAUACGUUACAUAAUCAUUGCUAUUAAAUACUGAAUAACUAACGUAUAAGGUAUUUAAUAAUGAAUGUAGACUACUUUUUGUCAUCAGAUUCUUGUCUUCAAUCUCCUUUUUAUCCGUUGAUAUUGAAUGACUUGAAUAGACACGAGAUUCGUAUCUAACAUUCCCUCUCGUGUCUAUUUUCUUUUCCUCCACCGUAAGUGUUGUCUUCCGUGCCUUUUAA
rnacentral:lncRNA from 1 species